ensembl:rRNA 5S_rRNA 5S ribosomal RNA
GCUUACGGCCAUACCACCUUAGGCACGCCCGAUCUCGUCUGAUCUCGGAAGCUAAGCAGGGUCGGGACUGGUUAGUACUUGGAUGGGUGACCGCCUGGGAAUACCAGGUGCUGUAAGCA